UACAGAGGGUGCGAGCGUUAAUCGGAAUUACUGGGCGUAAAGCGUGCGUAGACGGUUAUGUAAGUCGGAUGUGAAAGCCCCGGGCUCAACCUGGGAAUUGCAUUCGAGACUGCAUAGCUAGGAUGCGGAAGAGGGAAGUGGAAUUUCCGGUGUAGCGGUGAAAUGCGUAGAUAUCGGAAGGAACAUCAGUGGCGAAAAGCGACUUCCUGGUC
rnacentral:rRNA from 1 species